ACAAAAGCGUAAGCCCAAUGCGGGGCUCGAACCCGCGACAACCAGAUUAAGAGUCUGGUGCUCUACCGACUGAGCUAACCGGGCGGCAAA
ensembl:ncRNA K11E4.9 ncRNA